GCCUCUGUAGCUCAGUUGGUUAGAGUGCUGUUCCGGAAUCGCAGGGCCGUAGGUUCGAUUCCUACCAGAGGAC
rnacentral:tRNA from 1 species